UAGGGAAUCUUCCACAAUGGACGCAAGUCUGAUGGAGCAACGCCGCGUGAGUGAAGAAGGUUUUCGGACCGUAAAGCUCUGUUGUUGGUGAAGAAGGAUAGAGGUAGUAACUGGCCUUUAUUUGACGGUAAUCAACCAGAAAGUCACGGCUAACUACGUGUCAGCAGCCGCGGUAAUACGUAGGUGGCAAGCGUUGUCCGGAUUUAUUGGGCGUAAAAGCGAGCGCAGGCGGAAGAAUAAGUCUGAUGUGAAAGCCCUCGGCUUAACCGAGGAAUUGCAUCGGAAACU
rnacentral:rRNA from 1 species